rnacentral:tRNA from 1 species
GCGCUCGUAGCUCAGAGGAUAGAGCGGCAGGUUGCGGACCUGUAGGUCGGGGGUUCGACUCCCUCCGAGCGCG